UUUUUUUUUUUUUUUCAAUUUAAAAAAUACAUGUGUUUAUUCAAUUAUGCAAAUUUAAAAAAAGGAGUUGACUCAGUUUCUGUCUUCUUUUCUUUCUUUAAAACGCAUCAAAGGUGAAAGACAAACGGAUGCAGAUCCGUCCGGUCAAUUUCCUCAGGUUUGCACAGUUUUUUUUCUCCUUGAUGACUUGGAAGAGUAUAAGACAAGAUUUUAAGGCAGGAUUGAACUAACCACAUUUUUUUUAAGUUACUGAAAAGUGUUG